UAUUUUGACUAUGCGAAGGUAUUGAAAUAAGGCUUUAAAUGAGUGCUAAGAGAAUGGUUUAACAAUUAUAAGCUUUCUUUAAUUAAAAAAUUAAAUUUAAUUUUUUUGUGAAGAAGCAAAAAUUUAAAUUAGGGACAAGAAGACCCUAUGAAUUUUAUAUUAAAUAAUAUAAUUUAAUUAAAUUAUAUUAUUUAAAUUAAUUGGGGUGAUUUAAAAAGAAUAUAUAUCUUUUUAAAAAGUUAAUUUGUUCCGUUUUUAACGAUUUUAUGAAAAAAAUA
rnacentral:rRNA from 1 species